UAUGUUUCUUACUGCACAGGUUCAAGGUGUUUGCUGACUAUCAAGACUAUAUCAAAUGCCAAGAGAAAGUCAGUGCUUUGUAUAAGAAACCUAAGGAAUGGACCAAGAAGGUGAUCCUCAACAUCGCCGGUUCAGGCAAGUUCUCCAGCGACCGCACCAUCUCCCAGUACGCCCGUGAGAUCUGGGGUGUAGAGCCCACUCUGGAGAAGCUUGCUGCACCUGAUGACCCGAAAUAAACCUCCACCUGCCCAUCUCGAACCAAGAGCAACCUGUAUGAUCGAGCAACACUAGAUGCUCCCUCAUCAAGAAACCAGUCUUGCUCUAACUAUGGCAACCCGAACGCAGUCUUACAAUCAUCAAUCUUAAACGUUCUGCCUCAUUUACUUCACAAAACAAUCAAUAACUUAAACAAAUGUUCAACAGGUAACAUCUAUAUCAGCAUUAUUCAGCAAAAACCAGGGCUACAUUUCCCAAAAGCAUUGUAAGUAGAUCAUAGAAACUAUUGGCACCAGUGGUCUCUACAAUCUACAUAGGCUUACUAUGCUUUUGGGAAACGCUCUCAAUCGCAUAUUCAGAAUAAGAUGAGGAAACAUCACAUCCCAGAAGGUUCUUGAUGUUAUAUUUGGGUUUUGACAUUCAGUGGAGUGUGUUCCCCUGUCUGAACUGUUCAAGCACUGCAUAUUUGGAAA